CAACUACUCCCUCUGUCCCAAAUUUCUUGUCUUAGAUUUGUCUAGAUACGGAUGUAUCUAAUACUAAAAUGUGACUUGAUACAUCCUUAUCUAGACAAAUCUAAGACAAGAAUUUUGGGACGGAGGGAGUAAUUU
rnacentral:pre_miRNA from 1 species